rnacentral:rRNA from 1 species
CAGCAGCCGCGGGAAUACGUAGGGUGCAAGCGUUGUCCGGAAUUAUUGGGCGUAAAGAGCGUGUAGGCGGCCCCGUUAGUCCGCUGUGAAAGUCCAGGGCUCAACCCUGGAAUGCCGGUGGAUACUGCGGGGCUAGAGUCCGGAAGGGGCGAGUGGAAUUCCUGGUGUAGCGGUGAAAUGCGCAGAUAUCGGGAGGAACAUCAGUGGCGAAGGCGGCCAUCUGGGACAACACUGACGCUGAGGCACGAAAGCAUGGGGAGCAAACAGGAUUAGAUACCCCCGUAGUCCCUGUCUCUUAUAC